GACGGGGCCCGCACAAGCGGUGGAGUAUGUGGUUUAAUUCGAUGCAACGCGAAGAACCUUACCUGGUCUUGACAUCCCGGAGACCCUUAGGAAACUAGGGGGUGGCUUCCAUCUGGAAGAAUCUGGAGACAGGUGCUGCAUGGCUGUCGUCAGCUCGUGUCGUGAGAUGUUGGGUUAAGUCCCGCAACGAGCGCAACCCUUGCCUUUAGUUGCCAGCAGUUCGGCUGGGCACUCUAAAGGGACUGCCGGUGUUAAACCGGAGGAAGGUGGGGAUGACGUCAAGUCCUCAUGGCCUUUAUGACCAGGGCUACACACGUACUACAAUGGCCGAUACAAAGGGCAGCGACACUGCGAGGUGAAGCCAAUCCCGUAAAAUCGGUCUCAGUCCGGAUUGGAGUCUGCAACUCGACUCCAUGAAGUUGGAAUCGCUAGUAAUCGUGGAUCAGCAUGCCACGGUGAAUACGUUCCCGGGCCUU
rnacentral:rRNA from 1 species